rnacentral:rRNA from 1 species
CAGCCGCCACGGUAAAACGGAGGGGGCUAGCGUUGUUCGGAAUUACUGGGCGUAAAGCGCACGUAGGCGGCUUGGUAAGUUAGAGGUGAAAGCCCAGGGCUCAACCCUGGAAUUGCCUUUAAGACUGCCGAGCUAGUAGGUGAGAGAGGUAAGUGGAAUUCCGAGUGUAGAGGUGAAAUUCGUAGAUAUUCGGAAGAACACCGGUGGCGAAGGCGGCUUACUGGCUCAUUCUAGACGCUGAGGUGCGAAAGCGUGGGGAGCAAACAGGAUUAGAUACCCCAGUAGUCCCUGUCUCUUAUAC